UACUUCCUGCGAUGUACGUGUCGGCUUUCGUUGUUUUGAACCAAUGUUUGUUUCUUGGGAGUCCUAGAUCGAAUUGCGGCUGGCAAGCCCUCUCGAAGGAAGUCAAAAGCAUUUUUGCGGACACCCACCUGCUAGAGCAGGUUCAGAAACAUAAGAGCCAAACGGCAUAGGCGGGUUUUCC
rnacentral:other from 1 species